rnacentral:rRNA from 1 species
UUACGGGAGGCAGCAGUAGGGAAUCUUCCACAAUGGGCGAAAGCCUGAUGGAGCAACGCCGCGUGAGUGAAGAAGGUUUUCGGAUCGUAAAGCUCUGUUGUUGGUGAAGAAGGAUAGAGGUAGUAACUGGCCCCUAUUUGACGGUAAUC